rnacentral:rRNA from 1 species
AGGGCACCACCAGGAGUGGAGCCUGCGGCUUAAUUUGACUCAACACGGGAAAUCUCACCAGGCCCGGACACUGGAAGGAUUGACAGAUUGAGAGCUCUUUCUUGAUUCAGUGGGUGGUGGUGCAUGGCCGUUCUUAGUUGGUGGAGUGAUUUGUCUGGUUAAUUCCGAUAACGAACGAGACUCUAGCCUAUUAAAUAGAUCGUUGGCUUACAAACGCCGGCGAGACUUCUUAGAGGGACAGGCGGCGAUUCAGCCGCACGAAACAGAGCAAUAACAGGUCUGUGAUGCCCUUAGAUGUCCGGGGCCGCACGCGCGCUACACUGAAGUGAUCAGCGUGCAUUUUGAAACCUACUCUGUCAAGAGUGGGGAACCCAAUGAACCUUCUUCGUGAUUGGGAUAGGGGAUUGUAAUUAUUCCCCUUGAACGAGGAAUUCCCAGUAAGCGCGAAUCAUAAGUUUGCGCUGAUUACGUCCCUGCCCUUUGUACACACCGCCCGUCGCUACUACCGAUUGAAUGUUU